rnacentral:rRNA from 1 species
UGAAGAAGGCCUUCGGGUUGUAAAGCACUUUCGGCCGGAACGAAAUCGUCUCCGUUAAUACCGGGGAUGGAUGACGGUACCGGAAGAAGAAGCACCGGCUAACUACGUGCCAGCAGCCGCGGUAAUACGUAGGGUGCGGAGCGUUAAUCGGAAUUACUGGGCGUAAAGUGUGCGCAGGUGGCCGCGCAAGUCGAGUGUGAAAUCCCCGGGCUUAACUUGGGAAUUGCGCUCGAAACUACGUGGCUAGAGUGUGGCAGAGGAAGGUGGAAUUCCACGUGUAGCGGUGAAAUGCGUAGAGAUGUGGAGGAACACCGAUGGCGAAGGCAGCCUUCUGGGCCAACACUGACGCUCAUGCACGAAAGCGUGGGGAGCAAACAGGAUUAGAUACCCUGGUAGUCCACGCCCUAAACGAUGAUGACUAGUUGUUGGGGGAGUUAAAUCCCUUAGUAACGCAGCUAACGCGUGAAGUCAUCCGCCUGGGGAGUACGGUCGCAAGAUUA